rnacentral:rRNA from 1 species
GUUAUAUGGUCAAGUGAAGAAGCGCAUACGGUGGAUGCCUUGGCAGUCAGAGGCGAUGAAAGACGUGGUAGCCUGCGAAAAGCUUCGGGGAGUCGGCAAACAGACUUUGAUCCGGAGAUCUCUGAAUGGGGGAACCCACCUAGGAUAACCUAGGUAUCUUGUACUGAAUCCAUAGGUGCAAGAGGCGAACCAGGGGAACUGAAACAUCUAAGUACCCUGAGGAAAAGAAAUCAACCGAGAUUCCCUUAGUAGUGGCGAGCGAACGGGGAUUAGCCCUUAAGCUUCAUUGAUUUUAGCGGAACGCUCUGGAAAGUGCGGCCAUAGUGGGUGAUAGCCCCGUACGCGAAAGGAUCUUUGAAGUGAAAUCGAGUAGGACGGAGCACGAGAAACUUUGUCUGAACAUGGGGGGACCAUCCUCCAAGGCUAAAUACUACUGACUGACCGAUAGUGAACCAGUACCGUGAGGGAAAGGCGAAAAGAACCCCGGAGAGGGGAGUGAAAUAGAACCUGAAACCGUAUGCGUACAAGCAGUGGGAGCCUACUUGUUAGGUGACUGCGUACCUUUUGUAUAAUGGGUCAGCGACUUAUAUUCAGUGGCAAGCUUAACCGUAUAGGGUAGGCGUAGCGAAAGCGAGUCUUAAUAGGGCGUUUAGUCGCUGGGUAUAGACCCGAAACCGGGCGAUCUAUCCAUGAGCAGGUUGAAGGUUAGGUAACACUGACUGGAGGACCGAACCCACUCCCGUUGAAAAGGUAGGGGAUGACUUGUGGAUCGGAGUGAAAGGCUAAUCAAGCUCGGAGAUAGCUGGUUCUCCUCGAAAGCUAUUUAGGUAGCGCCUCAUGUAUCACUCUGGGGGGUAGAGCACUGUUUCGGCUAGGGGGUCAUCCCGACUUACCAAACCGAUGCAAACUCCGAAUACCCAGAAGUGCCGAGCAUGGGAGACACACGGCGGGUGCUAACGUCCGUCGUGAAAAGGGAAACAACCCAGACCGCCAGCUAAGGUCCCAAAGUUGUGGUUAAGUGGUAAACGAUGUGGGAAGGCUUAGACAGCUAGGAGGUUGGCUUAGAAGCAGCCAUCCUUUAAAGAAAGCGUAAUAGCUCACUAGUCGAGUCGGCCUGCGCGGAAGAUGUAACGGGGCUCAAACCACACACCGAAGCUGCGGGUGUCACGUAAGUGACGCGGUAGAGGAGCGUUCUGUAAGCCUGUGAAGGUGAGUUGAGAAGCUUGCUGGAGGUAUCAGAAGUGCGAAUGCUGACAUGAGUAACGACAAUGGGUGUGAAAAACACCCACGCCGAAAGACCAAGGGUUCCUGCGCAACGUUAAUCGACGCAGGGUUAGUCGGUUCCUAAGGCGAGGCUGAAAAGCGUAGUCGAUGGGAAACAGGUUAAUAUUCCUGUACUUCUGGUUACUGCGAUGGAGGGACGGAGAAGGCUAGGCCAGCUUGGCGUUGGUUGUCCAAGUUUAAGGUGGUAGGCUGAAAUCUUAGGUAAAUCCGGGGUUUCAAGGCCGAGAGCUGAUGACGAGUCGUCUUUUAGAUGACGAAGUGGUUGAUGCCAUGCUUCCAAGAAAAGCUUCUAAGCUUCAGGUAACCAGGAACCGUACCCCAAACCGACACAGGUGGUCGGGUAGAGAAUACCAAGGCGCUUGAGAGAACUCGGGUGAAGGAACUAGGCAAAAUGGCACCGUAACUUCGGGAGAAGGUGCGCCGGCUAGGGUGAAGGAUUUACUCCGUAAGCUCUGGCUGGUCGAAGAUACCAGGCCGCUGCGACUGUUUAUUAAAAACACAGCACUCUGCAAACACGAAAGUGGACGUAUAGGGUGUGACGCCUGCCCGGUGCCGGAAGGUYAAUUGAUGGGGUUAGCGCAAGCGAAGCUCUUGAUCGAAGCCCCGGUAAACGGCGGCCGUAACUAUAACGGUCCUAAGGUAGCGAAAUUCCUUGUCGGGUAAGUUCCGACCUGCACGAAUGGCGUAACGAUGGCGGCGCUGUCUCCACCCGAGACUCAGUGAAAUUGAAAUCGCUGUGAAGAUGCAGUGUAUCCGCGGCUAGACGGAAAGACCCCGUGAACCUUUACUGUAGCUUUGCACUGGACUUUGAGCCUGCUUGUGUAGGAUAGGUGGGAGGCUUUGAAGCGUGGACGCCAGUUCGCGUGGAGCCAUCCUUGAAAUACCACCCUGGCAUGCUUGAGGUUCUAACUCUGGUCCGUGAUCCGGAUCGAGGACAGUGUAUGGUGGGCAGUUUGACUGGGGCGGUCUCCUCCUAAAGAGUAACGGAGGAGUACGAAGGUGCGCUCAGACCGGUCGGAAAUCGGUCGCAGAGUAUAAAGGCAAAAGCGCGCUUGACUGCGAGACAGACACGUCGAGCAGGUACGAAAGUAGGUCUUAGUGAUCCGGUGGUUCUGUAUGGAAGGGCCAUCGCUCAACGGAUAAAAGGUACUCCGGGGAUAACAGGCUGAUACCGCCCAAGAGUUCAUAUCGACGGCGGUGUUUGGCACCUCGAUGUCGGCUCAUCACAUCCUGGGGCUGAAGCCGGUCCCAAGGGUAUGGCUGUUCGCCAUUUAAAGUGGUACGCGAGCUGGGUUUAGAACGUCGUGAGACAGUUCGGUCCCUAUCUGCCGUGGACGUUUGAGAUUUGAGAGGGGCUGCUCCUAGUACGAGAGGACCGGAGUGGACGAACCUCUGGUGUUCCGGUUGUCACGCCAGUGGCAUUGCCGGGUAGCUAUGUUCGGAAAAGAUAACCGCUGAAAGCAUCUAAGCGGGAAACUUGCCUCAAGAUGAGAUCUCACUGGGAACUUGAUUCCC